AGUCACAAGGAUCUGUUGAACGUGCGAAUCAAGACAUCGAAAAUAUACUGAGUUCCUGGUUGGAAAGCAACCAAACAAACAAGUGGUCAGAGGGUGUGCGAUUUGGAUAAUUCACCAAUAUCCGAUAUUAUCAUUCUGGCAUUAAUUGCAGUCCACAUGAAGCUAUGGUUGGGAGUUCCUGUCAAAAUUGUCAGGUCCUGAUUCUGAAAAACUUGAAGAAGCAGAAGUGGAUGAACCAAAUAAGCUUCUAAUAGAA
rnacentral:lncRNA from 1 species